UUAAGGUGGUAAUAGUUAUUGCCCCACCCUGUAUAUUAAUAUAGAUAUGGUUUAUGUCGUGUUUCACCUCUCUACAAAGCCGAGGGCGAGUCAUGUUUUUCCUAGGCGAGUCAAAAAUGAUUUCUAAAAGAUUUGAAAGUUGUAGAUAUGUUUUAUACGCGACUUGCACAUUUUCACAGCAAUUUUAGAAGAUGCAUUUUCAACAGCGCUUUCAAAGCGCUUUGCACGCGCUACUGUGCUACGUGCGCUUUCAAAGCGCUUUUUACGCGCAUGAUUGACGCAAGUGUUUUUAAGUGUUUUUCAGAGUGAAUUACAUGUUUUCAAGCAACAUUUUAAUCUUAGAAAUCAUUUUUGGCACACUGUGAAUCUAAAUCCAUCAAAAUAUCCACCUGCCUAAAAAGUGCGUAACUGACAGCGGUUUUGGGGGGUGCAUUCUCAAUAGCGCUUUCAAAGCGCUUUGCACACGCUGCUGUGCUACGUGGAACUAUUCUGUUCCUGCGUACCGACAGUCGUCGGCGUCGUUAACAGUGUCGGUCGACAACUAUUACGAAAAGAUAUUCUGUACCGCUGUUACCGACGAAUUUGUAACGAUAGUAGUCGUUUAGGAACUGUAACUGUCGUUCAGUUCAACGUGACCCCCCUUAGGUGACGAAAAUGUUUAUCGACCCGAAUACCGACAAGCAUUGAAGAGGUAUGUAGCAGUAACCGAUAACCUUAGAGGAGAGGGAAGCAAUGUGUGAAGAACUAGAGAGACGUAACGCGCCGCACAGUGGGCUGAAUCCCGGCGCGCCGAGAAUAAGUCUCCGCACUAAUUCGCUUAUUCGCUACUAAUCUCAAUACCGUGUCCGCAUUGCAUCAUAUUCUGUUAAAAGUAAAAGAGGAAAAACACUAUACACUAUCUCUCCUAAAUGUUAUCUCCUAAAUGUUAUCGUGCUAAGGAAGGCUGUUGUGUAGCCUGAAAAAUCAACAGAACAAGCAAACGGUACAGGAAAAGUAUUUAUUAAAAUUUAUUCAGUGUUAUACCAAAUCAGUGUACCACCAGUACCUGCAGGUGGUCGACCGGCACCAGCUAUUCUUAAAAGACCUGGUCCAAGUGGACCACCACUGGCACGAGCUAAUCCUGCCCUAUCUCACCUAUGAUACCAUCGUAAGUACAAUUUACGUAACAAUAUAGGAUCAAAUAUUUAUUAAUAUCAUAGAAGAAAUCGUAGAUCUUGAAUCGCGUUUAGGUAUUACAUUGUUUCAUCGAUCUCAAUUCUAAGCUGUAUACACGUAAAUUCUCAUUAAAUCGCAUAAUAUUAUAUUCUACUCUGAUGGUACAUAAGCAAUUUAACAAUGCGAUAACAUAAAAGUUUCAAUAACGUGAGGAGGGUAUCCUUCUCAUGUGGCCAUAAAAUUUAAAAACAAA